AGCGAACGCUGGCGGCAGGCCUAACACAUGCCAGUCGAACGAACUCUUCGGAGUUAGUGGCGGACGGGUGAGUAACACGUGGGAACGUGCCUUUAGGUUCGGAAUAACUCAGGGAAACUUGUGCUAAUACCGAAUGUGCCCUUCGGGGGAAAGAUUUAUCGCCUUUAGAGCGGCCCGCGUCUGAUUAGCUAGUUGGUGAGGUAAAGGCUCACCAAGGCGACGAUCAGUAGCUGGUCUGAGAGGAUGAUCAGCCACAUUAGGACUGAGACACGGCCCAAACUCCUACGGGAGGCAGCAGUGGGGAAUCUUGCGCAAUGGGCGAAAGCCUGACGCAGCCAUGCCGCGUGAAUGAUGAAGGUCUUAGGAUUGUAAAAUUCUUUCACCGGGGACGAUAAUGACGGUACCCGGAGAAGAAGCCCCGGCUAACUUCGUG
rnacentral:rRNA from 1 species